UAGGGAAUCUUCCACAAUGGACGCAAGUCUGAUGGAGCAACGCCGCGUGAGUGAAGAAGGCUUUCGGGUCGUAAAACUCUGUUAUUGAAGAAGAACGUGUGUGACAGUAACUGGUCAUGCAGUGACGGUAUUCAAUCAGAAAGUCACGGCUAACUACGUGCCAGCAGCCGCGGUAAUACGUAGGUGGCAAGCGUUGUCCGGAUUUAUUGGGCGUAAAGCGAGUGCAGGCGGUCUUUUAAGUCUGAUGUGAAAGCCUUCGGCUUAACCGAAGAAGGGCAUCGGAAACUGGGAGACUUGAGUGCAGAAGAGGAGAGUGGAAUUCCAUGUGUAGCGGUGAAAUGCGUAG
rnacentral:rRNA from 1 species